rnacentral:rRNA from 1 species
GACGAACGCUGGCGGCGGGCUUAACACAUGCAAGUCGAACGAAGUGGCGAACGGGUGAGUAAUACGUGGGUAACCUGCCCUCCUUUUUGGGAUAAGACUUGGAAACGGGGUCUAAAACCGAAUAACGGGGGAUGGGCUCGGGGCCGAUCAGCUUGGUGGUGGGGGGGUGGCCUACCAAGGCGGUGACGGGUAGCCGGGCUGAGAGGGUGACCGGGAACAUUGGGACGGAGAUACGGCCCAGGAGAGUACGGGAGGGAGCAUAGGGGGAUAUUGGAGAAUGGCCGAAAGCGUGAUGCAGCGACUCUGAGUGGGGGAUGAAGGUUUUAGGGUUGUAACACUGUGUCGCUAUGGAGCGGGUAGGUGGAGAAGAAGCGCCGGCUAACUACGUGCCAGCAGCCGCGGUAAUAC